GUGAGCUGGAAAGUGAGCUGCGUGCAGGGGCUCUAUGUGUUUGAGGGUGUGAGUUGGAAGCAGACGUUACAACCAUAGCAAGGUUUCUCAAACAACUGUGUGUUUGUUGUGAUGUAUGCUCUGUACAUUGCAAUGGAGCACAGUGCGAUUUCACUGAGGAUGAUGUAGAAGAUGUCCCCCGUCCGCCCCCCAAGAAGUCACAGCAUGUCACAUUAGCAUCCAGCUCUGCAGGAUCAGGAAGCAGAUGUUCUUCUAAGGGACACCCGAGAGGCAGCAAGGUGAUGUGAUCUCCAAACACUUAAAGGGACUGUUUCCCUCCUUAGUGUGUUGGGAUGGACGGGGAAGACCUCAUUACAACCCUUAAAGAAAUAUGGUUGUAUGAUGGCCUGGACGAAGAAGAAAAUAUUAUCCCCAAGGAACCCUUCAUGUUACAGAGAGAUGAUGAGAUGUUCUAUGUGGAGGCAGAUGACAACAAGAAAGUGACUGUCUUUGCCUCUUGAGGAACAGGGUUGAAGCCAUUUUUGAGGAGUGGUCAAACCCUGUUUUUGUCUGCUGGGUUAAUCGUUUCAAUUGUUAAUUGUGUUAUGUUGUUUAGUAAAGAUGAUGUAGCGUC